rnacentral:lncRNA from 1 species
GUCUAACGGAGAUUGUCUUGGAGAAGCUUCAAAUUUUUAGUUUUCCUUUGCAAGGAUUGAGAAAAUUUUGUUGUGAUUUCUCCUCACAAGACAAGGUACAAGUCUAUAACGUUUUCUCUUUUCUUCUUCAUACAGUUAUUUGACUUAUGUUCACAAAACCAAGUCAGUGUUAAGAUGCCCCUUACAUGUUUGAUAAAAUGUCUGAAAGAUUUUAGCCAGUUUUGUUUCUUUUUGGAUAGUCCCAAUAUUGGAGUAUUCAAUCACUUCCCAGUUCCCACAAUUUACUUUGUGUAUUGUAUAUAGAACUACAAAUGCAAAUGGUGUUCCAUGAUAAUAUAAUAACAUAAAGAACAGACCUUUGUGCACACAAUAAAUUCAGACUUGAAAAAUGCAAAUGCUAAGCAGUUAUUCAACUUUGUCACUUCUUUCUCUUAUGAAAAAACAAUAGUGGAGGUUAUUUGGGAUCAAAUGCUGCAGACUUUUAGAAACAAUAUAGUGAACUUAAUGCCAUUAUAUGCUAGCAUGCUUUUUCAGUUUGUUUAAGCUUAUUCUAUGCAUUCUGUCAACUUCACAUGAGUUAUCCAGAACAGCAACUCAUUGUCAAGAUGCGUGAAGCGAACCAGCACAAUUGCUUUACAAUUCAAAAGAAAACACUUCGCUUGUUUUUUCUAGUUACAAUUUCACAUCAAUGACAAUUUCAAGCGCGGAGAUAUUUUAGUUGGAGGGAUGGAAGAGCCUAAUUAGGAUCUCCUUAUAUAAUUCAACUACUUUUUGGGAGAGCUAGUUGAUCGCGAAGCACAUUUAAAGAUCAUUACAACAAUGAGAAGCAAUUACAGAAGUUGAAUGUCAUGGUUAAAAGAACAAUUGAGAAAUGAAAGAAGAAGAACAAAAUUGUGGCCAAAUCUGAUUGUACUAGUCAUUUUAUCUGCCUUUUUAAAAUUAAACUUGUUACGAAUAUUUUCCAAGUUCAAUGAAAAAUAUUCUCAUUGCCUAAAAAGUAUUUGUUUGCUUCUUCUUGAAUAACUGCAACUAUACUGUUAAUUCUUUAUUUUUGCAAGCUGAAGUCUAAAGAGUGAGACAUCUCAAUAGAGUUUUAACUCUUCAUUUUUGUCAACACUCCAGACCAGUAAGAACCAGCAACAACGAACACUUUUGACACCGUUACUGAUUCGCACCAGCAAAAAUCAGUAGUGAUCACUGCAAAACAGCAAAAAACAACAAUUUGUAUUAUCUCUUCUUCCUCGACUAAAGUUGCCCUAGAUUAUCCUCCAAAGUUCUGAUGGAAAUAAACUUUUAGUUUUUAAAGCCUUGCUUCGCUGAAGGUGGAAAGAUCGGGCGGGAGGGACAUACUUGGGAAUUUGAGGGAAAGCUUGGCAUGUUCCAGUAUUGGUGCCAUGAGCUUCUUGACAGUUUUUAACCGAAGGAUGAACUUUGCCACUUUUUAAAUAGUACAAGAAUGUACCUUAGGUUUGGGCCACAGCCCACAGUAGAGGGAUGUUUAUAGCCAAAAAUUCAUAAAAAGAAUCACAGGUAUAUGAAAUUUACCCUGGAAAACAACCCCAGAACCAUGAAGACUCUUGAUUUGGCCAGUUUGAUCCAUUGACUACUUUUGUUUUAUGCUUCCAGAAGGCCUUCUUCUUUCUGGUAAAUCUGACUGUCCGUCCGUUUCCUUCUCUGUGUUUUCCCUCUCCAAGCAGGUGGACUCACUGUACGUUUCUUUGCUGGUAUCAGUAACCUUUGUCGCUGUGUGUUUAUUUAUUUUCCUUUUCAUUGUUCUGUUCUUUCUCACUGCAAUUGUUUUUCAGAAUUUCCGUUUCGAUUGAUCUCAUGGACUAUUGGAUACAGCUUUCCCUUCACGCGAUUUCGUCACUUUAAUUUUUCCCUUACCGCGAGAGCUUUUUUAUGUUACUUUUCCAGCAUCAAUGGAUACAUUAAGUUUUCUUUAUUAAUUAACUCUACAUUACUUCUUCCUUGUACACCAUUGUUUAUUUUCCUUCUCUCCUUUUAGCUAAUAUAUCACCAGGCCUUCUCUAACAAGCAUGUAAAAAGAACUUGAAAUGACCAAAUAUUCACAGAGUUUAUAACAUACUGAUAUUACAAGUGAUAAUGUUAAAGUAAUGAGAGAAAAUAAAAGCUACUAUAAAGAAAGUGAAGCAGGAGUGCACACACUUCCUUGUACAUGUGAAAAUAUUUAAAAGGGAGAAUGACCUAAUCAAAUCUUGUUGCAUAAAACUAACUUGAUGAUCUUGCUCUUCGUCCUGCAGAUUAUCAAAUAGAAAGUCCACCUUGAGUUGCACAUGGUCAUUAUCAAGACCUAUUGGAUUUUGUUGAAGCCGCACCCUUGUUCUUGUUGGCAAUUGUUACUGAAGGAGCCCUUAGAGCCACAUUAAAGUUCUUGUUCCUUUUGGUUGAUUCAGGAAAAUGUCUAAGUGAUAUCAGCCUCAGGUGCAUAGAUUCUUCAAACUCUUCUUGAUCGUAGUCAUUAAACUGAUUUAUAACAUCCGAAACCUUAUGUAAAUGAACAGCCUUACCUGAUUUGCUAAAAUCAAUUGUUGAUAGUGCUGAGUACUGAGUUUGAUUUCUCACUACCAAUAAAGGUAAUUGAACUUCAAGCCCAUCAACACUCACCCGAGUGUUUGCAUUGUUGUAAACUUUUGUGUUUUUUUUCCAGGUUGACUUUUGCCUGUUUGAUUGUCACAAUUAUUGCCGAUAAAGUGAGCUUCCAAACAUCUUUUUUCUUAUGAGUCGAUUGCUUAUAUUUCUUGACCUUGUGUCUGCGCCUAAGCAUGUCCUUUGAAAUAUCUCUCUUCAAGUGGCUUAGUUGUUGAUUGGCUUCAUCACAAAGAGAUACUUGGAUUUCAUUUCUAUGUACGGUGGAUAUUGUAGACUGUUUCAUGUUAAUUUUGAACUUUUAAUGGUCUCGAAGCCUUCUAUUUUUGCUUACUAGUCAUCAUGUAGUGCUAGGUGUAUAGUUGGAGUUGUACUAAAGUAGAUUUUUUUUUUUUUUACUUUUUGUGUUCUAGAGGUAAAUGGUUUCAUAGGCAGAAGGCUAAUUCCUGAACUCUGGUGGUUGAACGGGGGAUUUUGAUUAAGUUCACCAUGGUUGCUACAAAAAGACG